GAUCCAGACUUUGAUCAUGGCUCAGGAUGAACGCUAGCUACAGGCUUAACACAUGCAAGUCGAGGGGAAACGAUAGAGAAAGCUUGCUUUUUCUAGGCGUCGACCGGCGCACGGGUGAGUAACGCGUAUCCAACCUGCCCAUCACUUGGGGAUAACCUUGCGAAAGUAAGACUAAUACCCAAUGAUAUCUCUAGAAGACAUCUGAAAGAGAUUAGAGAUUUAUCGGUGAUGGAUGGGGAUGCGUCUGAUUAGCUUGUUGGCGGGGUAACGGCCCACCAAGGCGACGAUCAGUAGGGGUUCUGAGAGGAAGGUCCCCCACAUUGGAACUGAGACACGGUCCAAACUCCUACGGGAGGCAGCAGUGAGGAAUAUUGGUCAAUGGACGAGAGUCUGAACCAGCCAAGUAGCGUGCAGGAUGACGGCCCUAUGGGUUGUAAACUGCUUUUAUAAGGGAAUAAAGUGAGUCUCGUGAGACCUUUUGCAUGUACCUUAUGAAUAAGGACCGGCUAAUUCCGUGCCAGCAGCCGCGGUGAUACGGAAGGUCCGGGCGUUAUCCGGAUUUAUUGGGUUUAAAGGGAGCGUAGGCCGGAGAUUAAGCGUGUUGUGAAAUGUAGACGCUCAACGUCUGCACUGCAGCGCGAACUGGUUUCCUUGAGUACGCACAAAGUGGGCGGAAUUCGUGGUGUAGCGGUGAAAUGCUUAGAUAUCACGAAGAACUCCGAUUGCGAAGGCAGCUCACUGGAGCGCAACUGACGCUGAAGCUCGAAAGUGCGGGUAUCGAACAGGAUUAGAUACCCUGGUAGUCCGCACGGUAAACGAUGGAUGCCCGCUGUUGGUCUGAAUAGGUCAGCGGCCAAGCGAAAGCAUUAAGCAUCCCACCUGGGGAGUACGCCGGCAACGGUGCAACUCAAAUGAAUUGACGG
rnacentral:rRNA from 1 species